GCAUUGCCAAGUGAUAGGCAUAAACUUAUUAAUUUACGUCAUCUUUAUUUUACUGAAACUUGGAACUUGAAGGAGAUGCCAAGACAUCUUGGUAGACUAGAAAGUCUUCGGACAUUGACUAAAUUUGUCGUCGGCAAAGAUAGUGGAUGCGGCAUUGGAGAGUUAAAAAAACUUAAUCUUCUAAGAGGAUCACUUUAUAUUCAGAACCUCCAAAAUGUUACAUCUCUUACGGAUGCUAAUAACUUAAACUUGGUGGAUAAGAAGUACCUUGAGGAGUUGGAGUUGAGCUGGGCAUAUUGGUCGAAAGAUAAUACUGUAGUAAGGCAAAUAGUUGUCUUAAGUAGUCUCCAGCCCCAUUCGAACUUGAAAAGUCUCACUAUUAGGUGCUAUGAUGGUAAAAGUUUUCCGGACUGGGUAGGGCAACUGCCUUCUUUUGAGAAAUUGGAAAUACAUGAUUGUCCAGAAGUUGAGUCAUUUACUAAAGGGGGAUUGCCUUCCAAUCUAAAUGAAAUUUCCAUCAGCUUUUGCGAUAAACUCUUUGCGAACCAAAUGGGGUGGGGAUUGCAAAAACUCCAGUGUCUUAGAAGAUUCAAGAUUUGGGACAACGCUAACGAUGUGGAGUCCUUUCCAAAUGAGGGGUUUCUUCCUACCAGUCUUACCCAUCUUAACAUCGGAUCCUUUCAAAAAUUGAAAUCUUUGGACAAGAAGGGGCUUCAACACCUCAUUGCUCUCGAAGAAUUGGAAAUUUGGUACUGCCCUAAGCUCGAGUGCAUGCCAGAAGACGGGCUGCCUGCCUCCCUUUCUACUUUAAGUAUAGUCGGAUGUCCUUUGUUGGAGAAAGAGUCGGAAAGGAGAGAAGGAGAAGAAUGGCGCAAGAUUUCUCACAUACAGCUUGAAUGAGGUCCUCCGGAAUGAAAUACAAACUCCACUCGUUGCAGAUGGUCAAUUGCUGUCAUUCUCUUCCAAUAGGCUUUGCUGAUUGUGCCGGAUCAAACUGGGUUAAGGGUAAUCUGGAGUGAAAUACAGGUUGUACUUGUGUGCUCAUGGCCUUGCUAAUGCUACAGAUGGUCAACUGCUCCUAGGCAUUUUCUUCGUAUCUUCUUCUCAAUGGGUUCCAUUCACUUCAUCAAUUAAUAUGUCAUCCUCCAAUGCGAUUUGUUAAUUAUGCUUGUACAAACUGGGUUAAAAGCAAUUGAUUUUGCCGUUGGUACGAGAACUCUAAAAUGGUGUAAAUAUUCUGCUGGGAUGUCUUUUUUGCUUUGGUGGCAAACUCCUCUGCCGCAGCUGUUUCAAUUGGUGGUUCAAAGGUGUAUCUAUUGGGCAUUGUCUCUUUGUGCUCUUAUGAUCAAUUUAUGUGAUCAUUUUUCCCUCUUUCUUCGGUUUUUUGCACAUAAUUUGGUUACUGAAGACAAUUUGUCCACCACAAAUGGGUUGAAAUACAAACUCCACUUGUGUGCUCAUGGAUUCGGUAGCAGAUGGUCAACCGCUCCUACUCUGUGUCGGACUAGCUUAAGGGCAACUAAUGUUUGUUGACAUUUUGAGUUUAGAAAUCGAUUCCAUUAACUUUGGACAAGAUCAAUCUUGAUUCUGCCAUUUGUGUUCUACAAUGUUUUUGAAAGUUGACUUAAACAAACUGGAGAUGGCUGCUUUGUGGAGAUAUUGGGGCACUUUAACCUUGUGAGUUUUUCUAAUAGGAGAAAGUUACAUGUUGAUCUGUUGCCACUAUUGAGUCAUAUUUUUGUGUACUACCAUAUUGGAUUGCUAGGUGGAUGUUAUCCCCAACCCAUCAAAAGAGCAACUAGUUGAUGUUGUUCAUAGUCAUUUCAAGUCGCAGGUACUUGCAAAACUGGUUGCUUCUCCAUUUUUCGUGUACUUACAAUGUUAUUUCAAGCAGCUUUUUCAAAGUAGAUAGCAUUGUUCUGUUAUGAAAAAUCCAUUUUUAUGGUGGUGAAGCAAAUGGACGAGUUGCAGGUCAUUUUGGGGUUUGUUCCCGCUGCGAAUUGAUUGAAGACUGUGUGAAUGACCUGGAGAGAAAUGGGGAGAUCUUUGAAUUCGGUUAUCAAUGCUAACCGAUGAUGAUACUGGUACCUAAGAAUUUAUCAGUGGCUUGUUUAUGUCCAUCAUUUUCGGUUACAGAGGUUCUUACUUUUUGGUAGUGUAAGUUCGUGACCGGACCUCUAAAGAAGUCCCUUGUGGCUUUCUUUCCAAACUUGGUUGAAUGUACAGUGGACUUGAGGAAGUGGGCUUUUAAAGACCUCUUCAUCUGUGCCGGACGGGCUUAAGGGCAACUGAUGUUUGUUGACAUUUUGAGUUUAGAAAUCAAUUCAAUUAACAUUGGACAACCUCUAUCUUGUGAAACUGUAUAAAUGCUAAGUUUUUGUUCUACAAAAUUAUGAGGUUAUGAAUAUAUUGUGAGAUUAUGAAUUUUUGACAUGAUCUUGGCCUUUGUACUAUUCUCAAAAAGUCAGUCAAGCCAAAUCAAAACUGUCUGCAAUGAUCACUAUCUCUAUAGUAGUUAUUAUAACAAAAUGUUUCAUGCUCGUAUUGAUCAUAAAGUUCCUGCAUUUACUUCAAUUUAUUUAUUCCUUUUCUUUUUAAUCAUCAUCGUCGAACAGUUUGCACAGAGAAGGGAAUGGACUUUGCUCUGUGACAUACUUGCUUCAUUAUAUAGACUGUUAGCCACUUCCACCCCGCUGAUGCUACUCACUGGUAUACUCAGAACUUGGUAAAUGAAGAAAAAGAAGACGGAAGCAAUUCAGUCUUGGUUCUCAGCACACAAGCUGACCAGCAUUGGCAUCAGGAAUAUGGGCAUCACUAGCUUAUUCAUGUACAAAAUCUCCUCUGAUACCAAGCCUUAGGCUAAUUCAAAUUCAUGCAAGAAUGCACCGCACAAGUGUUCGACAUUGGCGGUGCUCUCUGGCGCAGCCAUCUACAACUACUACGAGAAGCGUACAGCGGAGCAAGGAGAGAGUCAUUCUUCAAAGUGAUCAGAGAGAGAUCUUAGACAUAAUUUCCCACUCAACCUAUUGCAAGGCCAUUUAUUCAAGGAAAGAGUGUUGGCUUCAUCAUACUCACUACUGAGUCUCUUGAAGAGUUGAGGUGUGAUAUCUCUCACCCUCUAUGAAAGUAUUUUUCUAAAGAAUGACAAAUGCAUCUGAAAACUCUUCUUAAAAAUGUUGUUCUUCUAUGACUGUGAAAUUACAAAAAGUUAGUUCUGCACCAGAAACCUUAGACAAGCUCUUUUCUCCUCGCUAGAAAGCAAAAAUUUGUUUAGAUGUUAUGAUGCUCUCAAGAUUCUUCCCCAAUGGGCUUAAAAAUCAAUAUUUUGAAACCUGAUGAGCGAAGUACUUUCAGUUGUUUCUAAAGACGGCGCAUAUUCCUUAUAGUAUCUGAGUGAUGGAUUGAGAACUUCUUGGAGCGAUGAUCCUUUCUGUGAUGUGCACAGGCAUGCUUCUCAAGAUUUUUGCUGCAAGAAUUUGGUUCUUCAUAACAGCUUGACUGCCUUUCACUUAAAUGCUAUUUUUGGAGGUUGUAGUGGAGAUAUUUCUUAGGAUAUUGAAGGAUUAUCGCUGAUCGUUUUUCAUUUUAAUUUAAACAAUUCCUAGAUGGUUUCAGUUUUGAGUGUUCAAAGUGUCUUAAUGAAGUGCUUCAAGCUGUUUUCUAUUCU